rnacentral:rRNA from 1 species
AGGGGGGGGCCCUUACCCAUGGCCAAGUUCUAGCGGGUAGCACAGAGAGCUUGCUCUCGGGUGACGAGCGGCGGAUGGGUGAGUAAUGUCUGGGAAACUGCCUGAUGGAGGGGGAUAACAACAGGGAAACGGUAGCUAAUACCGCAUAACGUCGCAAGACCAAAGUGGGGGACCUUCGGGCCUCAUGCCAUCAGAUGUGCCCAGAUGGGAUUAGCUAGUAGGUGGGGUAACGGCUCACCUAGGCGACGAUCCCUAGCUGGUCUGAGAGGAUGACCAGCCACACUGGAACUGAGACACGGUCCAGACUCCUACGGGAGGCAGCAGUGGGGAAUAUUGCACAAUGGGCGCAAGCCUGAUGCAGCCAUGCCGCGUGUGUGAAGAAGGCCUUCGGGUUGUAAAGCACUUUCAGCGGGGAGGAAGGCGAUAAGGUUAAUAACCUUGUCGAUUGACGUUACCCGCAGAAGAAGCACCGGCUAACUCCGUGCCAGCAGCCGCGGUAAUACGGAGGGUGCAAGCGUUAAUCGGAAUUACUGGGCGUAAAGCGCACGCAGGCGGUCUGUCAAGUCGGAUGUGAAAUCCCCGGGCUCAACCUGGGAACUGCAUUCGAAACUGGCAGGCUAGAGUCUUGUAGAGGGGGGUAGAAUUCCAGGUGUAGCGGUGAAAUGCGUAGAGAUCUGGAGGAAUACCGGUGGCGAAGGCGGCCCCCUGGACAAAGACUGACGCUCAGGUGCGAAAGCGUGGGGAGCAAACAGGAUUAGAUACCCCUGGUAGUCCACGCCGUAAAACGAUGUCCAUAUGGAGGUUGUUGCCCUUGAGAGCGUGGCCUCCGGAGCUAACGCGUUUAAAUCGACCGGCCUGGGGGAGUACGGCCCCAGGGUUAAAACU